rnacentral:rRNA from 1 species
UACGAAGGGGGCUAGCGUUGCUCGGAAUUACUGGGCGUAAAGGGCGCGUGGGCGGAUAUCUAAGUUGGGGGUGAAAUCCCGGGGCUCAACCUCGGAAUUGCCUUCAAAACUGGAUAUCUUGAGUUCGGGAGAGGUGAGUGGAACUCCGAGUGUAGAGGUGAAAUUCGUAGAUAUUCGGAAGAACACCAGUGGCGAAGGCGACUCACUGGCCCGAUACUGACGCUGAGGCGCGAAAGCGUGGGGAGCAAACAGG